UACAGAGGGGGCUAGCGUUGUUCGGAAUUACUGGGCGUAAAGGGCGCGUAGGCGGCCGCCUAAGUCAGACGUGAAAUCCCUCGGCUCAACCGGGGAACUGCGUCUGAUACUGGGUGGCUUGAAUUCGGGAGAGGGAUGCGGAAUUCCAGGUGUAGCGGUGAAAUGCGUAGAUAUCUGGAGGAACACCGGUGGCGAAGGCGGCAUCCUGGACCAAUAUUGACGCUGAGGAGCGAAAGCCAGGGGAGCAAACGGG
rnacentral:rRNA from 1 species